ACCCUACGGGACGCAGCAGUGGGGAAUAUUGCACAAUGGGGGGAACCCUGAUGCAGCGACGCCGCGUGAGUGAAGAAGUAUUUCGGUAUGUAAAGCUCUAUCAGCAGGGAAGAAAAUGACGGUACCUGACUAAGAAGCCCCGGCUAACUACGUGCCAGCAGCCGCGGUAAUACGUAGGGGGCAAGCGUUAUCCGGAUUUACUGGGGGUAAAGGGAGCGUAGAAGGCGGAACAAGUCAGAAGU
rnacentral:rRNA from 1 species